GGAAGUGAAAGUCGUAACAAGGGUUUCCGUAGGUGAACCUGCGGAAGGAUCAUUAUUGAAUGAAACACUUCUGGCUUUAUGCUGUUGUGCUGGCCCUUUGGGCAAUGUGCACACGGCUCUGGUCACUUGUUUCUUCUGUUCCACCUGUGCACUGCCUGUAGACACGCUGUGUCUAUGAUAUUUGUUAACACACAACAAUGUUAGUUGGCAUGUUAUAUAUAAUAAUAAAAUAUACAACUUUCAACAACGGAUCUCUUGGCUCUC
rnacentral:misc_RNA from 1 species